UUCAAGGUGCUGCAUGGUUGUCGUCAGCUCGUGCCGUGAGGUGUUAGGUUAAGUCCUGCAACGAGCGCAACCCCUGUCACUAGUUGCUACCAUUCAGUUGAGGACUCUAGUGAGACUGCCUACGCAAGUAGAGAGGAAGGUGGGGAUGACGUCAAAUCAUCACGGCCCUUACGUCUUGGGCCACACACGUAAUACAAUGGCCGGUACAGAGGGCAGCUACACAGCGAUGUGAUGCGAAUCUCGAAAGCCGGUCUCAGUUCGGAUUGGAGUCUGCAACUCGACUCUAUGAAGCUGGAAUCGCUAGUAAUCGCGCAUCAGCCAUGGCGCGGUGAAUACGUUCCCGGGCCAUGUACACACCGCCCGUCAAGCCAUGGAAGCUGGGGGUACCUGAAGUCGGUGACCGUAAAAGGAGCUGCCUAGGGUAAAACUGGUAACUAGGGCUAAGUCG
rnacentral:rRNA from 1 species